CCCUUAGAUGUCCUGGGCUGCACGCGCGCUACACUGGAAGUUACGGAUUGAGAUACUACCUUGUCCGAAAUGGUCCGGGUAAUCACCUAAAAGCUUGUCAUAAUUGGAAUGGAUUAUUGUAACUAGUAAUCCUGAACGAGGAAUUCCUAGUAAGUCCCAGUCAACAGCUGGUACUGAUUAUGUCCCUGCCCUUUGUACACACCGCCCGUCGCUACUACUGAUUGGACGUUUAAGCAAGAUUUUUAAACACUGACAGUGUGUAGUUCACGCUAUACUACAGUGAGAAGAAGAAGAUCGAGCUUACUUGUCUAGAGGAAGUAAAAGUCGUAACA
rnacentral:rRNA from 1 species